GAUGAACGCUAGCUACAGGCUUAACACAUGCAAGUCGCGGGGCAGCAUGGGGGUUGCUUGCCAUCCCCGAUGGCGACCGGCGCACGGGUGAGUAACGCGUAUCCAACCUGCCCUUCACCACGGGAUAACCCGGCGAAAGUCGGACUAAUACCGUAUGUUGUCCAUUGACGGCACCCGAUUUGGACGAAAGGUUUGGCGGUGAAGGAUGGGGAUGCGUCCGAUUAGCUGGACGGCGGGGUGACGGCCCACCGUGGCGACGAUCGGUAGGGGUUCUGAGAGGAAGGUCCCCCACACUGGAACUGAGACACGGUCCAGACUCCUACGGGAGGCAGCAGUGAGGAAUAUUGGUCAAUGGGCGUAAGCCUGAACCAGCCAAGUAGCGUGCAGGAUGACGGCCCUAUGGGUUGUAAACUGCUUUUAUGCGGGGAUAAAGUGGCCCACGUGUGGGUUUUUGCAGGUACCGCAUGAAUAAGGACCGGCUAAUUCCGUG
rnacentral:rRNA from 1 species